rnacentral:tRNA from 1 species
GGUUGUGUUGGCUUAGUGGUUAAACGUUUGGCUGCUAACCAAAAGGUUGGCAGUUUGAGUCUACCAGCUACUU